rnacentral:rRNA from 1 species
GAUGAACGCUGGCGGCGUGCCUAAUACAUGCAAGUCGAGCGAACAGACGAGGCGCUUGCGCCUUUGUCGUUUGCGGCGGACGGGUGUGUCACAUGUGGAUCAUCUCCCUGAAUGACUGGGAACAUCACGGGACACCGGAGCUUAUACCGGAUGAUAUACUGAAGCGCAUGGUUCGAUAGUGAAUGACGGCUUUGCUGUCACUAAUCGAUGGAUCCGCGCUGCAUUAGCUAGUUGGGAGGGUAACGGCUUACCAAGGCAAGUAUGCGUAGCCGACCGGUGGGGGUGGUCGGCCACACUGGAACUGGGACGCGGUCCAGGCUCCUGCGGGAGGCAGCAGUAGGGAAUCGGCCGCAAUAGGCGAGAGCCUGGCGGAACGACGCCACGUGUGAGGUAGAGGCCUUCGGAGCGUGAAACUCUGUUAUGAGGGGAAAACAAAUGUGGAAGUAACUGUGCACUGCUUGACGGUACCUGGUCAAAAAGCCACGGCUAACUACGUG